GCCGGAGUGUCGUAACGGUAGCCGAUACGGACUCAAAAUCCGUUGGGUCGCAAGACCCGUGAGGGUUCGAAUCCCUCCUCCGGCA
rnacentral:tRNA from 1 species